rnacentral:lncRNA from 1 species
UGUGCCUGUGGCAUGCAAAAGUUCCCCGGCCAGGGAUCAAAUCCAUACCACAGCAGCUACCAGAUCUGCUACAGUGACAACGCUGGAUCCUUAACCGGUUGCACCACAAGGGAACUCUUGCUUCAGUUUCUUUGAUUACGCUUUCUUUGAGUGGAUUUUUUCAAAUGGGGUUCAUAUGAAUUGCCAAUUUUUAAGUUAUUAAAAUGCAGAAGCUUAUAUUAACAGUAAAUUGAUUAACUGUUCUUUCAUGAUAUAUUCUAUAGAGUUUUCAGUAGGUUGCUUUUAAUUCACUAUGAGGAAUUUAGAUUAUCAAUGAAUUAUAGACACAGGAGAUUUGAAGAUCAGCUUUUGAGGCUAGAGUUUUGGGCAGAGGCCAGGAUAAUUAAGCUGCCAGCUACAAAGUACUACAGCAAGUGCCAGAAACACUACUUAUUUUUUUGUAUGGGAAAAUAUUUUUGCCAAAUGAAAUCUUUGGGGUUUUUAUAGUUCUUUCCCAUAUGUCUCUAUGAAAAUGUUAUUUUUCAUAUCUCACUUCUGAAUGGGGCUGUCAGGAUAACAAGUAUCAACUGCUUUCCAGGUCUGGAAAAUUGAUCCAGUUAAACAAUUUAAGAAUGAGGAAUAUCUUGAGGGAAUCCUAUGAGUUAUAUCUUGAGGAUAUGAACAGCGCGGAUUAAUAUAAGUGCAGGUGUUCAGCCUCCAGUCUAUAGUAGGCACUCCAGGUCUGCUUCUGCAUAGACAGGUCCCAGAUGAACAUUUUUGAAAUGGCAUCAGCACCUUCUAGGAAAAAUAAUUGGGAAAAUAUUUAACAACCAGUCAUGUUAAAACUGAUUUGGAAAUGCCAUUUUCACGCUUAGUCAUCCCUACCCCAGGGUCAAAGCAGGAAUAAAAAAAGAGCGGGAGGUUUGUUAACUAUAAUAUCGUGAAAUUCCAAACAAUUAGAAUUGAAUAUGGUCUGGGGAGGAAUUAGAGUUCUGAUCUGAUAGGUACGACUCCCUGUUUUUGCUAAGACUGACAGAAACAUUUUCCUGUUCUUACAUUGUCAUCCUGUGGGCUAGCAGAGACUCUGAGAGAUUGAAAUGUUGGAAUAGGCCUGAGUUUCUGAGAAAUAUUAUGAAACUUUUAAUAAAUGAAAAUUCCUGGAAGUUAUAUAAUUGGACUUUGUAAUUUGAUAGGAAAUAUCCUCAAGGGAUUCAGGCUUGCAAAAUGAUAAUGUUUUAAAGGAAAAUUGAUGGCACUUAACUGCAAACAGUUAUAACUGUUUUGAGUUCAUAUCUCCCAUGUUUGAGACACUAUACUACAUCACUUUCUUCUGACUAAGGAGUUUGGGGUAUUAUGCAGAUAGAAAACUAUUUCCCUCAUGAUAUUUGU